GGCUCAGUGGUCUAGAGGUAUGAUUCUCGCUUUGGGUGCGAGAGGUCCCGGGUUCAAAUCCCGGCUGAGCCC
rfam:Harpegnathos saltator strain R22 G/1 HarSal_1.0_3.contig1903, whole genome shotgun sequence.